rnacentral:rRNA from 1 species
CCAGACUCCUACGGGAGGCAGCAGUGGGGAAUAUUGCACAAUGGGGGAAACCCUGAUGCAGCAACGCCGCGUGGGUGAAGGAGCGUUUCGGCGCGUAAAGCCCUGUCAGCGGGGAAGAAGAAAGACGGUACCCGACCAAGAAGCCCCGGCUAACUACGUGCCAGCAGCCGCGGUAAUACGUAGGGAGCGAGCGUUGUCCGGAAUUACUGGGUGUAAAGGGAGCGUAGGCGGGCUUGUAAGUUGAAUGUCUAAUCCACCGGCUCAACCGGUGAUCGCGUUCAAAACUGCAGGUCUUGAGUGAAGUAGAGGCAGGCGGAAUUCCUAGUGUAGCGGUGAAAUGCGUAGAUAUUAGGAGGAACACCAGUGGCGAAGGCGGCCUGCUGGGCUUUAACUGACGCUGAGGCUCGAAAGCGUGGGGAGCAAACAGGAUUAGAUACCCCGGUA